AGGCUUAAUACAUGCAAGUCGUGGGGCAGCACAGGUAGCAAUACUGGGUGGCGACCGGCAAACGGGUGCGGAACACGUACGCAACCUUCCUUUAAGUGGGGGAUAGCCCAGAGAAAUUUGGAUUAAUACCCCGUAAUAUUAUAGAGUGGCAUCACUUUAUGAUUAUAGCUUCGGCGCUUAAAGAUGGGCGUGCGGCUGAUUAGGUAGUUGGCGGGGUAACGGCCCACCAAGCCUUCGAUCAGUAACUGGUGUGAGAGCACGACCAGUCACACGGGCACUGAGACACGGGCCCG
rnacentral:rRNA from 1 species